rnacentral:rRNA from 1 species
GCGCAGCCUGAUGCAGCCAUGCCGCGUGUGUGAAGAAGGCCUUCGGGUUGUAAAGCACUUUCAGUCAGGAGGAAAGGUUAGUAGUUAAUACCUGCUAGCUGUGACGUUACUGACAGAAGAAGCACCGGCUAACUCCGUGCCAGCAGCCGCGGUAAUACGGAGGGUGCGAGCGUUAAUCGGAAUUACUGGGCGUAAAGCGUACGCAGGCGGUUUGUUAAGCGAGAUGUGAAAGCCCCGGGCUCAACCUGGGAACUGCAUUUCGAACUGGCAAACUAGAGUGUGAUAGAGGGUGGUAGAAUUUCAGGUGUAGCGGUGAAAUGCGUAGAGAUCUGAAGGAAUACCGAUGGCGAAGGCAGCCACCUGGGUCAACACUGACGCUCAUGUACGAAAGCGUGGGGAGCAAACGGGAUUAGAUACCCCGGUAGUCCACGCCGUAAACGAUGUCUACUAGAAGCUCGGAGCCUCGGUUCUGUUUUCAAAGCUAACGCAUUAAGUAGACCGCCUGGGA